rnacentral:rRNA from 1 species
AUUGAACGCUGGCGGCAGGCUUAACACAUGCAAGUCGAGCGGAGAUGAGGUGCUUGCACCUUAUCUUAGCGGCGGACGGGUGAGUAAUGCUUAGGAAUCUGCCAUUUAGUGGGGGACAACAUUCCGAAAGGAAUGCUAAUACCGCAUACGUCCUACGGGAGAAAGCAGGGGAUCUUCGGACCUUGCGCUAAAUGAUGAGCCUAAGUCGGAUUAGCUAGUUGGUGGGGUAAAGGCCUACCAAGGCGACGAUCUGUAGCGGGUCUGAGAGGAUGAUCCGCCACACUGGGACUGAGACACGGCCCAGACUCCUACGGGAGGCAGCAGUGGGGAAUAUUGGACAAUGGGGGGAACCCUGAUCCAGCCAUGCCGCGUGUGUGAAGAAGGCCUUAUGGUUGUAAAGCACUUUAAGCGAGGAGGAGGCUACUGAGACUAAUACUCUUGGAUAGUGGACGGUACUCGCAGAAUAAGCACCGGCUAACUCUGUG